rnacentral:rRNA from 1 species
CGCAAGCCUGACGGAGCAACGCCGCGUGUGGGAAGAAGGCUCUUGGGCUGUCAACCACUUUUCUCAGGGAAGAAGCCCUGACGGUACCUGAGGAAUCAGCCUCGGCUAACUCCGUGCCAGCAGCCGCGGUAAUACGGAGGAGGCAAGCGUUAUCCGGAAUUAUUGGGCGUAAAGCGUCCGCAGGGGGCACAUCAAGUCUGCUGUUAAAGGCUGGAGCUUAACUCCGGUAGAGCAGUGGAAACUGGUGUGCUAGAGGGCGACAGGGGUAGAGGGGAUUCCCAGUGUAGCGGUGAAAUGCGUAGAGAUUGGGAAGAACACCGGUGGCGAAAGCGCUCUACUGGGUCGCACCUGACCCUCAGGGACGAAAGCUAAGGUAGCG